GUAAGGGUAAGGUUAUGGUUACAAUUAUGCAAGUGUUAGUAUUUGGCUAGGGCUACUGUAAUGCAUUGGUUGUGGUUUGGCUAGGGUUACUAUUAUGCUAGUGUUAGGGUUGGCUACUGUAAUGCAUUGGUUGUGGUUUGGUUAGGGUUACUAUUAUGCUAGUGUUAGGGUUGGUCUACGGUUACUGUUGUGAUAGAGUUAUGGUUUGGCUACAGUUAAUAUAAUGCGAGUGUUAGUAUUUGGCUAGGGUUACUAUAAUGCGAGUGGUAGGGUGUGGCUAGGGCUCCUCUAAUUGGAGUGUUAAGGUUUUUCUAGGGUUACUAUUAGGCUAGUGGUAGGUUGGUCUAGGGUUACUAUUGUGCUAGUGUUAGGGUUUGGCUAGGGUUACUAUUAUGCUAGUGGUAGGGCUUGUCUAGGGUUACUAUUGUGCUAGAUUUAUGGUUUGGCUAGGCUUAUUAUAAUGCUAGUGUUAGGGUUGGUCUAGGGAUACUAUUAUACUAGCGUUAGGGUUCGGCUAUUGUUAUUAUAAUGCUAGUGUUAAGGUUGGGCUAGUGUUACUAUUGUGCUAGUGUAAAGGUAGGGCUAGGUUUAUUACUAUGCUAGUGUUAGGGUUUGGCUAGGGUUACUAUGAUGCGAGUGGUAGGGUGUGGCUAGGGUUCCUAUAAUGGGAGUGUUAAGGUUUGGUUAGGGUUACUAUUAGGCUAGUGGUAGGGUUGGUUUAGGGUUACUAUUGUGCUAGUGUUAGGGUUUGGUUAGGCUUACUAUAAUGCUAGUAUAAGGGUUGGGCUAGGGUUACUAUUGUGCUAGUGUAAAGGUAGGGCUAGGUUUACUAUUAUGCUAAGGUUAGGGUUGGGCUAGGGCUACUAUAAUGCGGGUGUUAGGGGUUGGCUAGGGUUACUACAAUAAGAGUGUUAGGUGUUGGGCUAGGUUUACUAUUAUGCUAGGGUUAGGGUUCGGUUAGGGUUACUAUUAUGCUAGUGUUAGGAUUUGGCUAGAGUUUCUAUUAUGCUAGUGUUAGGGUUUGGCUAGGGUUACUAUAAUUCUAGUGUUAGGGUUGGGCUAGGGUUACUAUUAUACUAGUGUUAUGGUUUGGCUAGGGUUACUAUUAUACUAGUGUUAGUGCUGAGUUAGGUUUACUAUUAUACUAUGGUUAGGGUUGGGGUAGGGUUCCUGUUGUUCUAGUGUCAGGGUUUGUUUAGGGUUAAUAUAAUACGAGUGUUGGGGUUUGGCUAGGGUUACUAUAAUGCGAGUGUUAGGGUUUGGCUUGGGUUACUAUUAUGCUAAUGUUAUGGUUGGGCAAGGGUUACUAUUAUGCUAGGGUUAGGGUUACGCUCGGUGUACUGUUAUACUAGUGUUUGGGUUUGGCUAGGGUUACUAUUAUGAUAGUGUUAGGGUUGGUCUUUGGUUACUAUUGUACUAUAGUUAAGGUUUGGCCAGGGUUACUAUAAUGUGAGUGUUAGGGUUUGGCCAGGGUUACUAUUAUGCUAGUGUUAGGGUCUGGCUAGGGUUACUAUAAUGCGAGUGGUAGGGUUUGGCUAGGGUUACUUAAUGCAAUCAAGCACAGUAAUAUCAUGGUCAGCAAACCAGUUACUCAUAGUUUUGGCACUGUGGACAGGUGCUAAGUCUUGCUGGAAAAGAAAAUCAGCAUCUCCUUAAAGCUUGUCCGCAGUUGGAAGGAUGAAGUGCUCUAAAGUCUCCUGGUAGAUAGCUGCAUUGACUCUUUACUUGAGAAAACCCAGUGGACCAACACCAGCAGAUAACAUGGCACCCCAAAUAAUCACUGACUGUGGAAACUUCUCACUGGACUUCGAUUCUGUGACUCUCCACUCUUCCUCCAGACUCUGGGACCUCGAUUUCCAAAUGAAAUGCAAAUUUACUUUCAUCUUCCCCACAAUUGUGUUUGUG
ensembl:lncRNA